GAGUUUUCUAUGGAGGGGGUUAAGCCCCACUUCUGCAAAUGGGCUGGAACACAACAUAUAUUUUGUCUCCAAAGGUGCAGAACAGCUGCUCACUGAAAAUACUCAAAAAAAACUGAUAAUUUCAACACUUGCAAAGCAGUUUAAGCCACAAAGAUUUAAGGCUGGACUUCGGCAAAGGAGAUGCAUUACAAGUACUUGGACUCGGCGUCUGUCUCCAUUGAAAAUUGACAACUAAUGUCAGUGACAAUUGCACUCCAAACAAAGGAAAAGAGCACGAAAUAAAUACAGAUGGGAACAAAACUAA